rnacentral:lncRNA from 1 species
GCCACACUUUCCUUUGUUUCUCGUCUCUAUCGCCGCAACGGCACGAUCGGAGUACACGCCCGCAAGGGAUGGAGCUUGUGCGCGUCGGGGCUAUCGUGCCGCGUUGGGGCUUGAGCUCGCAUGCACCGUCAAGGAGCCGGAGCUCGUGCGCUCUAGAGCUCUGCCGCGCCCAGGCCGGAGCUCGCGCGCUCUAGAGCUCUGCCGCGCCCAGGCCGGAGCUCGUGCCUACCAGGGAUGGAGCGCGUGCGCGUCGCCGCCGAGCCGGAGCUCGC